AAUGGAGCUUAAUGUUAAUUUGAGCCAGAGUUAACAUUUUUUAUGUUAAAAUCGAAACGGCGAAAAUAGAUCCAAAAAAUAACUUAAUGCAGAAAAAAAAAAAAGAAAAGAAAAAAGCACAUCGAUAUUUACGUGGUUCGAUCGGCCAACGGCCUACGUCCACUGGCGAAGACGGAGCAAAUAAUUUAUUAAUGUCGAAAAGGUAGAGUAUAA
rnacentral:lncRNA from 1 species